UGCAUUUGAAGCCCAUGAGGAUGAGAACCUCCGGGGGCGGGAGGUUCGACUCGAGCGAAGCGAGAGAACGUUGCGCCAGCAACGGCCCGCAGGGCGAGCCACGAAGUGGCGAGUAAUCCUCUAUCACCGACCA
rnacentral:sRNA from 1 species